UACGUAGGGAGCAAGCGUUGUCCGGAAUCAUUGGGCGUAAAGCGCGCGUAGGCGGCCCGGUAAGUCCGCUGUGAAAGUCAAAGGCUCAACCUUUGAAUGUCAGCGGAUACUGCCGGGCUAGAGUCCGGAAGAGGCGAGUGGAACUCCUGGUGUAGCGGUGGAAUGCGCAGAUAUCAGGAAGAACACCAACGGCGAAGGCAGCUCGCUGGGACGGAACUGACGCUGAGGCGCGAAAGCGUGGGGAGCGAACAGG
rnacentral:rRNA from 1 species